UUAUAUUCUCCACAGGGGGGGAUGAGAACCCCCGACCGGGGUUCGACAACUGGCGCAGCCAGUUGGACAGACCGCGCACGCAGUAAGCGGGCUGCCCCGCAGGGGCGAGCGAAGCGAGUCAAUCCCCCCCCCCCCACCG
rnacentral:sRNA from 1 species